rnacentral:rRNA from 1 species
GACGAACCGUGCGAACGUUGUUCGGAAUCACUGGGCUUAAAGGGCGCGUAGGCGGGCGUGCAAGUCUGUGGUGAAAGCCUCCAGCUUAACUGGAGAAGUGCCGUGGAUACUGCACAUCUUGAGGAGGGUAGGGGCAUCUGGAACGGUCGGUGGAGCGGUGAAAUGCGUUGAUAUCGACCGGAACUCCGGUGGCGAAGGCGAGGUGCUGGACCCUUUCUGACGCUGAGGCGCGAAAGCCAGGGGAGCAAACGGG